CCUACGGGAGGCAGCAGUGGGGAAUAUUGGACAAUGGGGGAAACCCUGAUCCAGCGACGCCGCGUGAGUGAAGAAGUAUUUCGGUACGUAAAGCUCUAUCAGCAGGAAAGAAAAUGACGGUACCUGACUAAGAAGCCCCGGCUAACUACGUGCCAGCAGCCGCGGUAAUACGUAGGGGGCAAGCGUUAUCCGGAUUUACUGGGUGUAAAGGGAGCGUAGACGGCAGCGCAAGUCUGGAGUGAAAUGCCGGGGCUCAACCCCGGAACUGCUCUGGAAACUGUGAAGCUGGAGUGCAGGAGAGGUAAGCGGAAUUCCUGGUGUAGCGGUGAAAUGCGUAGAUAUCAGGAGGAACACCAGCGGCGAAGGCGGCUUACUGGACUGUAACUGACGUUGAGGCUCGAAGGCGUGGGGAGCAAACAGGAUUAGAUACCCGUGUAGUC
rnacentral:rRNA from 1 species